rnacentral:rRNA from 1 species
CACUUCUGACGUUAGCGGCGAACGGGUGAGUAACACGUAAGGAAUCUACCUAUAAGCGGGGGAUAACAUUCGGAAACGGGUGCUAAUACCGCAUAAUAUCUUCUUCCGCAUGGAAGAAGAUUGAAAGACGGCUCUGCUGUCACUUAUAGAUGACCUUGCGGUGCAUUAGUUAGUUGGUGGGGUAACGGCCUACCAAGACGAUGAUGCAUAGCCGACCUGAGAGGGUGAUCGGCCACAUUGGGACUGAGACACGGCCCAAACUCCUACGGGAGGCAGCAGUAGGGAAUCUUCCGCAAUGGGCGAAAGCCUGACGGAGCAAUGCCGCGUGAGUGAAGAAGGCCUUCGGGUCGUAAAACUCUGUUAUAAGAGAAGAACAAAUUGUAGAGUAACUGCUACAGUCUUGACGGUAUCUUAUCAGAAAGCCACGGCUAACUACGUGCCAGCAGCCGCGGUAAUACGUAGGUGGCAAGCGUUGUCCGGAUUUAUUGGGCGUAAAGGGAGCGCAGGUGGUUUCUUAAGUCUGAUGUGAAAGCCCACGGCUUAACCGUG